UUUCAGAAAAGACACAUGAUGCUGAAAAGACAAAUUCUUGGCAAAAAGUCCAUGUCAAGACAUUAAACAUUAUAAUCAAGAAGUCAAGAACAAUGAAUCAGAGCAAACAUAUAUGCACAGUUUAAACUUUAAAAUCCCCAAUUUAAUUAAAAGUAAGAUAACAAACAAACAUAAUUUGUGCAAAAUUAGAAACGCGACCACAAACCCAUUAAAAAUUUUACGUUUUCAACUUCGAAUUCAGUAUGCAUUAUAUCAAUUUCAUAGAAAUUUCCAGCUACACACUUAUAACAGAACCCAUAUAUCUUUUGCCGUUUAAAAUGUAGGUACAAAAAGAUUAUAGAUAUAGAGUGAAAUACGUGAAGCGUGGACAAGCGUUUGAGAGAUUGAGGAAGUGAGAGAGAAGAGAGCGACCCAUCUUCUUGUUGGUUGAUGAUGAUACUGU
rnacentral:lncRNA from 1 species